rnacentral:rRNA from 1 species
AUGGACGGCGGCGCCCAUGCAUGCAUAGCUCAUGCGAUCGGAGCGUCGGCUGUGCGUGCAUGCAUGCGCUUCCAAGCUGCAGCUGGAGAUAGGGCACAAAGGUUUAAUAAGAUGGUGGAUAUGGUGUUUGAUAUCUUUCUUUCUUUCUUUCUUUCUUUCUGGUGUUCUUCUCUUCUUCUUCUUCCUCGGAAUUGUGCUCUAGCCGUUCAUUUGUGUUUGGUGAUCGACUUGGGGCUAGCUAGCUCUAACACAUCAGACUAUCAGAGUACACAACAUUUUAAUCUCUGUUCAUCGGUGCCAUGGAUGGUGCUAUAUGCUAGUCUGUGUGAAGCUUCAUUUUAG